AUGAAUAUCUUCAGGAAGUUUGGCUUUAAGAAGAACUCCAAGGGUGUUAUUGGGGAGUCUUUGGACAAUGAUCUCCACCCUCGGAGGUUGGCGGAAGUACGACCAUGCGAAUGGCCGCACACCCCGUUCCUGCAAGAGGCUGGAAUUCUUGAGGAGUUCAUGCAAUAUAUUACUAAUGUCGGCCUCACCGACUUCAUCGCAGAUGAGUGUGACGAGCACCAUAUCCUCACAAACAACUUUGUUCACAGCUUUACUUUCUUGCCUAGAAAUAAUCCUCCUGAAGUGAGCUUUGAUUUAUAUGCCGAAAACCAUCAGAUACCACUUACUGAGUUUUGUGACAUAUGCAUGAUCCCUUCUAAUGGGAGCUUUGUUGAGCCUAGGCUGGUCGAAUUUGAGGACUUUUACCGCACUCUAACAGCGGGUGAUAAGAUAGGAGUGUCAGCCAUCACUUCCCAUGGCUUACAUUUUCCCGUUGUUCAUUACUUUGCACUUUUUAUUGCUAAAUGCUUGCUUGCUAGGGAGAAGGUGGGUGCACUUAGUUCACCAGACCUUACUGUUUUAUGUCGUGCAUUAGAGGGCGACAACACUUAUAGCUUGGGAGCUAUUGUGGCUCGUCGCCUCCACCUUAAUAAAUCUAAGGGAAAAUACAUGGUGGGAUUUAUGCUACUCGUUUGGCGGCUCACUUAG
rnacentral:rRNA from 1 species